rnacentral:misc_RNA from 1 species
CAACCCUCAAGCACAGCUUGGUGUUGGGACUCGCGUUAAUUCGCGUUCCCCAAAUUGAUUGGCGGUCACGUCGAGCUUCCAUAGCGUAGUAGUAAAACCCUCGUUACUGGUAAUCGUCGCGGCCACGCCGUUAAACCCCAACUUCUGAAUG